rnacentral:rRNA from 1 species
ACAGAGGUGGCAAGCGUUGUUCGGAAUUACUGGGCGUAAAGGGCGCGUAGGCGGUCGGGCAAGUCCUGUGUGAAAUCCCUCGGCUCAACUGAGGAACUGCACGGGAAACUGCUCGACUUGAGUUCGGGAGAGGGAAGCGGAAUUCCGGGUGUAGCGGUGAAAUGCGUAGAUAUCUGGAGGAACACCGGUGGCGAAGGCGGCAUCCUGGACCGGCAUUGACGCUGAGGCGCGAAAGCCAGGGGAGCAAACGGGA